AAAGCGUGCGCAGGCGGUUGUGUAAGUCAGAUGUGAAAUCCCCGGGCUCAACCUGGGAAUUGCAUUUGAGACUGCACGGCUAGAGUGUGUCAGAGGGGGGUAGAAUUCCACGUGUAGCAGUGAAAUGCGUAGAUAUGUGGAGGAAUACCGAUGGCGAAGGCAGCCCCCUGGGAUAACACUGACGCUCAUGCACGAAAGCGUGGGGAGCAAACAGGAUUAGAUACCCCUGU
rnacentral:rRNA from 1 species